rnacentral:rRNA from 1 species
GCCAGACUCCUACGGGAGGCAGCAGUGAGGAAUAUUGGUCAAUGGGCGGGAGCCUGAACCAGCCAAGUCGCGUGAGGGAUGACGGCCCUAUGGGUUGUAAACCUCUUUUGCCGGGGAGCAAAGUGCCGCACGUGUGCGGUUUGGAGAGUACCCGGAGAAAAAGCAUCGGCUAACUCCGUGCCAGCAGCCGCGGUAAUACGUAGGGAGCAAGCGUUAUCCGGAUUUACUGGGUGUAAAGGGCGUGUAGGCGGGCCUGCAAGUCAGAAGUGAAAUCUGGGGGCUUAACCCCCAAACUGCUUUUGAAACUGUGGGUCUUGAGUGAUGGAGAGGCAGGCGGAAUUCCCAGUGUAGCGGUGAAAUGCGUAGAUAUUGGGAGGAACACCAGUGGCGAAGGCGGCCUGCUGGACAUUAACUGACGCUGAGGCGCGAAAGCGUGGGGAGCAAACAGGAUUAGAUACCCCGGUA